CUCAGAUGGUAGAGCGCUCGCUUAGCAUGCGAGAGGUAGCGGGAUCGAUGCCCGCAUUCUCCAAAGCUUUUUUUCCCUUUCUUUCCUGCUCUAAAAGUUAUAACUACAAUUUAAUUCAGCGCGCAGUGACUGCUGGUCCUGCCGGCGCCUGUUCCUCUGGGUGUAACGGGACACAGGAGAGACAGAUUCUUCUCCUGCCAUUGAAAUCUGAAAAUAAAUUACUUGUAUUAUAUAUAUGUUAUAUAUAUAUAUAUGUUUAGAAGUAUUAAGUUGAUUUGAAGCAAAUAAUGGGCCUUGCUUACCACUGAAUGAGUGUCCUCUGGUUUAACUCAGACAGCUGGUUCAUUAUUUCAUCAAUGUGACUGUGGUAAUAAACAUGGCCAGGACCAUAAACGGCCUGAUGAGGAGUUGUCCACAGAAGACAGGAGUCCCUGAUAUAUCAUUAUGUAAAGUCAAAUAUGAAGUCUAACAUUUCCUUCUGUUUCCUAUGCUGUCCUCUUAAACCAUGACACAGUGUACGCACAAUAAACACAAAGUACUUUUCACA